UUCCGGUUGAUCCUGCCGGACCUGACUGCUAUCGGAUUGAUACUAAGCCAUGCGAGUCAUUGUAGCAAUACAAGGCAUACGGCUCAGUAACGCGUAGUCAACCUAACCUAUGGACGAGAAUAACCUCGGGAAACUGAGAAUAAUGCUCGAUAGAACACUAUAUCUGGAAUGGUUUGUGUUCCAAAUAAUUUAUCGCCGUAGGAUGGGACUGCGGCCUAUCAGUUUGUUGGUGAGGUAAUGGCCCACCAAGACUAUUACAGGUACGGGCUCUGAGAGGAGUAGCCCGGAGAUGGGUACUGAGACACGGACCCAGGCCCUAUGGGGCGCAGCAGGCGAGAAAACUUUGCAAUGUGCGAAAGCACGACAAGGUUAAUCCGAGUGAUUUGUGCUAAACGAAUCUUUUGUUAGUCCUAGAAACACUAACGAAUAAGGGGUGGGCAAGUUCUGGUGUCAGCCGCCGCGGUAAAACCAGCACCUCAAGUGGUCAGGAUGAUUAUUGGGCCUAAAGCAUCCGUAGCCGGCUCUGUAAGUUUUCGGUUAAAUCUGUACGCUUAACGUACAGGCUGCCGGGAAUACUGCAGAGCUAGGGAGUGGGAGAGGUAGACGGUACUCGGUAGGAAGGGGUAAAAUCCUUUGAUCUAUUGAUGACCACCUGUGGCGAAGGCGGUCUACCAGAACACGUCCGACGGUGAGGGAUGAAAGCUGGGGGAGCAAACCGGAUUAGAUACCCGGGUAGUCCCAGCUGUAAACUAUGCAAACUCAGUGAUGCAUUGACUUGUGGUCAAUGCAGUGCUGCAG
rnacentral:rRNA from 1 species